AUUGAACGCUGGCGGCAUGCCUUACACAUGCAAGUCGAACGGCAGCAUGGAAGAGCUUGCUCUUCUGAUGGCGAGUGGCGAACGGGUGAGUAAAGCAUCGGAACGUACCGUGUAAUGGGGGAUAACGUAGCGAAAGUUACGCUAAUACCGCAUACGACCUGAGGGUGAAAGCAGGGGAUCGCAAGACCUUGCGUUAUACGAGCGGCCGAUGUCAGAUUAGCUAGUUGGUGAGGUAAAGGCUCACCAAGGCGACGAUCUGUAGCGGGUCUGAGAGGAUGAUCCGCCACACUGGGACUGAGACACGGCCCAGACUCCUACGGGAGGCAGCAGUGGGGAAUUUUGGACAAUGGGGGCAACCCUGAUCCAGCAAUGCCGCGUGAGUGAAGAAGGCCUUCGGGUUGUAAAGCUCUUUUGUCAGGGAAGAAACACCGGCUCUAACACAGUCCGGGAAUGACGGUACCUGAAGAGUAAGCACCGGCUAACUACGUGCCAGCCGCCGCAGUAA
rnacentral:rRNA from 1 species